rnacentral:rRNA from 1 species
UACGAAGGGGGCUAGCGUUGUUCGGAAUCACUGGGCGUAAAGCGCACGCAGGCGGAUUGAUAAGUCAGGGGUGAAACCCCGGAGCUCAACUUCGGAAUUGCCUUUGAUACUGUCUGUCUUCGAGUUCGGGAGAGGUUGGCGGAAUUCCUAGUGUAGAGGUGAAAUUCGUAGAUAUUAGGAAGAACACCAGUGGCGAAGGCGGCCAACUGGCCCGAUACUGACGCUCAUGUGCGAAAGCGUGGGGAGCAAACAGG